CAGCCGCCGCGGUAAUACGUAGGGUGCAAGCGUUGUCCGGAAUUAUUGGGCGUAAAGAGCUCGUAGGCGGUUUGUCGCGUCUGCUGUGAAAUCCUGAGGCUCAACCUCGGGCUUGCAGUGGGUACGGGCAGACUAGAGUGCGGUAGGGGAGAUUGGAAUUCCUGGUGUAGCGGUGGAAUGCGCAGAUAUCAGGAGGAACACCGAUGGCGAAGGCAGAUCUCUGGGCCGUAACUGACGCUGAGGAGCGAAAGCAUGGGGAGCGAACAGGAUUAGAGACCCCUGUAGUCCCUGUCUCUUAUAC
rnacentral:rRNA from 1 species